rfam:Ixodes scapularis strain Wikel colony gcontig_1108378953766, whole genome shotgun sequence.
GCGUCGGUGGUUCAGUGGUAGAAUACUCGCCUGCCACGCGGUGGCCCGGGUUCGAUUCCCGGCCGACGCA